rnacentral:rRNA from 1 species
AACACCAGAGUAGUACGGUUUGAACUAAAACUUAAAGAACUUGGCGGUUUUCUAGCCCUUUUCGGAGGAGCUUGUCAUUGAAUUGAUAACCCACAAGGAACCCCACCAUUCUUUGAACACCAGCCUGUAUACCAUCGUCGUCAGCUCACCUCCAAGAAAGUGAACAAAAAGGAAUACCCCCUUACGUCAGAUCAAGGUGCAGCCAAUAGAAUGGGAAUCGAUGAGCUACUUUACUUAACAACAGAGGACUUAUCACUGAAAGGUGAUUCCGAAAGAGGAUUCGACAGUAAUUUUUUAAAGAAAUACCUAAUGAAAUCAGCUCUAGAAUGCGCACACACCGCCCGUCACCCUC